ACUUCAGUGACAGCAGUCGCUCGCCGAAUAUUUACGAUGGUUUGGAUGCUAGUAAAAGCUCUUUCCUUGGGUCAGACACGCCACAAGCCGGCCAGUUUGUUGGAGAACGCACACGUAAACGAAUUCUGUUCGUUCGAAAUACCGGAAAAAGAUCUUCGAUGUUUCCGAGUUAGGCCUAACGGCAGCGGGAAAGCAAUGGCGGAUUGUUGUGAUGUGAGUGUCUCGUCGUGAUUGCUCGUCAGGCAUGAGCCGAGUCGUGAUUUACUGCGAAGUUGUUCUAAAGUGUACAUCUAAUUGACUGCGAUGAUUGCUUUUUGAGUUUCCGUAUUAGAUGCGAGCUGCUCUACUGAUUGAUGGAGCUAUGCCGCGAAUAGGAUAUCGAAAAUGGCGGAGUGGCAAAAUUCAAUGCAGAAUAUCUUUCAAUGGAAGAGAAUGCUUGGAACGUCAACAAAUUGGCUAAGUAUUUUUUCUGAGUUGCACUAAAAACUCUUGCGUGAAAAGAAAACCCUCUUGUAAAUGCAGCAAUCGGAAGUACUGAGCAUUACGAAGGAUGAUGACUGAAGUCGCAAGUGAUUUUACAGGAAACAUGCCUAAGUGAUUAAUGGAUACUUCCAGACAUAACGGUCGAAAUGCGGAUAUGGCGUCUUGACCUUUCCUCCUUUUUCAGUUCUUGCCAUGUCCGGUGUUCCGAAGAACAUUUAUGCAUUAAGAAGUGAUUCAGCUGCUUUUCUUUCUUUUUUAGAAGAUCUUUAUAACCUGUGAAAUUACUGUUCGACUCGGAAUCUUUGGAUGUAACACAUUCCUCUUACACAAUUUAUAAAUUGAAUGUAUGCUUACUAUUUCCGUAGCUCAAUUUUUGAAGCAAAAGAUGGAUUUUUAUUCCAGAAAAUUAAUUCUUAAAAAAGUAAAUCCAUUAAGAUAAAUUUUUAUAGUAAAGUAUGGUAAUGUAUCAUUAGAUAUAAUUAUGGUAUAUAAGGAAAAACAGUUAGAUAUAAACUUUGCAUAGAGGUAUAAAAUAUUUUAUUGGUGACAUCUAAAAUAAUUUUGACUGAGCAUUCUCCGCUGAUUUCCUUAAUCUUAUUAUACUAAUUAAAUAAAUUUGAAGUUCAUUCGUACGCAAUUUUGUAUAGUAAACGCAAAAAAUUCAUUAACGUAGGUCAUUGGAGCACAUGCUGCAACCUCUUCGGCUCUGUUAAUGACAUUUGCCUUAUCACUUACUUUGGCAACUCUAACUGGGAUGACAGUCAUCGAUAAGUCAACGAGUGCUAAAGGUACUAGGAAUCUUUCAGGCUGUGACAAUUCUUAGGAUAUUCCAUUAUGCCAUACCGGAAAUUUCUGUUUUCAGCUAUAGAUUUUCUGUUUUCAUUUAUGGAAAAACUGUGUUCUCGUUGGUACUGUGAUGUCGUCUUCAGCUAUUUUAUCUGAAACUUUGACAUACAUAUCCUCUAGUAUUUCGUACACAAAAUAGAUAUUCCGCUUACAUAAUCAUUUGCAAUAACCCUACAAGCAGGACGUCAGUAAUCUACAGGCACAUCCAAAGUAAACCACAUAAAAUACUUCUGCUUACACCGUUAUUUCUUGUAACAUUACAGACCAACUAUCUUUAACCUUUACUGAUGUAUUCUUCGGUAAUCCACAUACGGAAACUAUGUUAUGCUCACACAAUUAUUUCCCAUAGCAUUUGUAACUACAGAAGAGAAAAAUGGUAUUAUUUGUAAAGUUUAUCCUAAGUUUAUAAAAAUUAUUUCUAAGUUUAUGCCCCUUUCCUAUCUCUCCUGGCUUCAGCUUACAAUUCCUUACCAGAAUGAGAGUUUUCAGAAUCGCGUUUUAUGCAAUUGAGAAGGAAUCGAAGUUCCACUGACUUCGAGAGAGAGAAUCAAAAGAUUCUGAAUGACGCGCAUUUGCCUUUUGGCUAUGUCUCUGUAAGCUGUUACUAUGCUCGGCCACAUUACGUGCCCUUGAUAGUUCGCUAGAUAAUUCGAUAUUUAGGAGCCAAAUAGCUCAGAUUUGUGUUAGCUUCGGCUAAAUCUCAUUAGUUAAUUCUUAUUUCUUACACCUUUGAGUUCAAGCCCAAGUGGAGGCUUUGCUGUACGCCC